GAUGAACGCUGGCGGCGUGCUUAACACAUGCAAGUCGAACGAAGCACCUUGAUUCGAUUCUUCGGAUGAAGAUCUUGGUGACUGAGUGGCGGACGGGUGAGUAACGCGUGGGUAACCUGCCUCAUACAGGGGGAUAACAGUUAGAAAUGACUGCUAAUACCGCAUAAGACCACAGCACCGCAUGGUGCAGGGGUAAAAACUCCGGUGGUAUGAGAUGGACCCGCGUCUGAUUAGGUAGUUGGUGGGGUAACGGCCUACCAAGCCGACGAUCAGUAGCCGACCUGAGAGGGUGACCGGCCACAUUGGGACUGAGACACGGCCCAAACUCCUACGGGAGGCAGCAGUGGGGAAUAUUGCACAAUGGGGGAAACCCUGAUGCAGCGACGCCGCGUGAGCGAUGAAGUAUUUCGGUAUGUAAAGCUCUAUCAGCAGGGAAGAAAAUGACGGUACCUGACUAAGAAGCACCGGCUAAAUACGUGC
rnacentral:rRNA from 1 species